rnacentral:rRNA from 1 species
AGUGAACGCUGGCGGUAGGCCUAACACAUGCAAGUCGAACGGCAGCACAGUAAGAGCUUGCUCUUACGGGUGGCGAGUGGCGGACGGGUGAGGAAUACAUCGGAAUCUACUUUUUCGUGGGGGAUAACGUAGGGAAACUUACGCUAAUACCGCAUACGACCUACGGGUGAAAGCAGGGGAUCUUCGGACCUUGCGCGAUUGAAUGAGCCGAUGUCGGAUUAGCUAGUUGGCGGGGUAAAGGCCCACCAAGGCGACGAUCCGUAGCUGGUCUGAGAGGAUGAUCAGCCACACUGGAACUGAGACACGGUCCAGACUCCUACGGGAGGCAGCAGUGGGGAAUAUUGGACAAUGGGCGCAAGCCUGAUCCAGCCAUACCGCGUGGGUGAAGAAGGCCUUCGGGUUGUAAAGCCCUUUUGUUGGGAAAGAAAAGCAGCAGGCUAAUACCCCGCUGUUCUGACGGUACCCAAAGAAUAGGCACCGGCUAACUUCGUG